GGCAGGCUUAACACAUGCAAGUCGAGGGGUAACGACUCCGUCUUCGGAUGGAGGUCGACGACCGGCGCACGGGUGAGUAACGCGUAUGCAACCUACCUUUUACAGGAGGAUAGCCCAGAGAAAUUUGGAUUAAUACUCCAUAGUACUGAUGAAUCACCUGGUUUAUUAGUUAAAACUCCGGUGGUAAAAGAUGGGCAUGCGUGUCAUUAGCUAGUUGGUAAGGUAACGGCUUACCAAUGCGAAGAUGACUAGGGGUUCUGAGAGGAAGAUCCCCCACACUGGUACUGAGACACGGACCAGACUCCUACGGGAGGCAGCAGUGAGGAAUAUUGGUCAAUGGGUGAGAGCCUGAACCAGCCAUGCCGCGUGAAGGAAGACUGCCCUAUGGGUUUGUAAACUUCUUUUCUGCAGGAAGAAAUCACUCUACGUGUAGGGUGUUGCCGGUACUGCAGGAAUAAGCAUCGGCUAACUCCGUGCCAGCAGCCGCGGUAAUACGGAGGAUGCAAGCGUUAUCCGGAUUUAUUGGGUUUAAAGGGUGCGUAGGCGGGCUUGUAAGUCAGUGGUGAAAUGCUGUGGCUUAACCAUAGAAUUGCCAUUGAAACUGCAAGUCUUGAGUACAGUUGAGGUGGGCGGAAUGAGUAAUGUAGCGGUGAAAUGCAUAGAUAUUACUCAGAACUCCGAUUGCGUAGGCAGCUUGCUAAACUGUAACUGACGCUGAUGCACGAAAGCGUGGGGAGCGAACAGGAUUAGAUACCCUGGUAGUCCACGCUGUAAACGAUGAGCACUGGUUGUUGGCAAUACACCGUCAGCGACUGAGCGAAAGUAUUAAGUGCUCCACCUGGGGAGUACGUCGGCAACGAUGAAACUCAAAGGAAUUGACGGGGGCCCGCACAAGCGGAGGAACAUGUGGUUUAAUUCGAUGAUACGCGAGGAACCUUACCUGGGCUUAAAUGUAGAGUGCAUUGUUUGGAAACAAACAUUUUCUUCGGAACUCUUUACAAGGUGCUGCAUGGUUGUCGUCAGCUCGUGCCGUGAGGUGUCGGGUUAAGUCCCAUAACGAGCGCAACCCCUAUUGUUAGUUACCAGCACGUAAUGGUGGGGACUCUAGCAAGACUGCCGGUGUAAACCGUGAGGAAGGUGGGGAUGACGUCAAAUCAGCACGGCCCUUAUGUCCAGGGCUACACACGUGUUACAAUGGCAAGUACAAAGAGCAGCCACCUGGCGACAGGGCGCUAAUCUCAAAAGCUUGCCUCAGUUCGGAUCGAAGUCUGCAACUCGACUUCGUGAAGGUGGAUUCGC
rnacentral:rRNA from 1 species